rnacentral:rRNA from 1 species
UACGGGGGGGGCAAGCGUUGUCCGGAAUUACUGGGUGUAAAGCGCGUGUAGGCGGGAGGCCAAGUCUGCGGUGAAAUCGCUCGGCUCAACUGGGCGGGGUCCGUGGAAACUGGUCACCUGGAGGACGGUAGAGGCGAGUGGAAUUCCCGGUGUAGUGGUGAAAUGCGUAGAGAUCGGGAGGAACACCAGUGGCGAAGGCGGCUCGCUGGGCCGGACCUGACGCUGAGACGCGAAGGCGUGGGGAGCGAACGGG